GACGAACGCUGGCGGCGUGCCUAAUACAUGCGAGUCGAACGAGAGCGACCGGUGCUUGCACUGGUCAAUCUAGUGGCGAACGGGUGAGUAACACGUGGGUAACCUGCCCAUCAGAGGGGGAUAACAUCCGGAAACGGAUGCUAAAACCGCAUAGGUCUUCGAGCCGCAUGGCUUGAAGAGGAAAAGAGGCGCAAGCUUCUGCUGAUGGAUGGACCCGCGGUGCAUUAGCUAGUUGGUGAGGUAACGGCUCACCAAGGCCGUGAUGCAUAGCCGACCUGAGAGGGUGAUCGGCCACAUUGGGACUGAGACACGGCCCAAACUCCUACGGGAGGCAGCAGUAGGGAAUCUUCCGCAAUGGACGCAAGUCUGACGGAGCAACGCCGCGUGAGUGAAGAAGGUUUUCGGAUCGUAAAACUCUGUUGUUAGAGAAGAACAAGUGCUAGAGUAACUGUUAGCGCCUUGACGGUAUCUGACCAGAAAGCCACGGCUAACUACGUG
rnacentral:rRNA from 1 species